CCACCUGACAGGUCCCAGGAAGCCCGGUCCCGGGAAGGCAAAGGGGCGAAGUGCCAGCCGCUAUGGGAGAGGUGGCGUUAGGGGCACGCGGCGAUGCCCAGCUCUG